rnacentral:rRNA from 1 species
UACGGAAGCUCCUGGCGUUAUCCGGAUUUAUUGGGUUAAAGGGAGCGCAGGCGGGAGCUUAAGCGUGACGUGAAAUGUAGCCGCUCAACGGCUGAGUUGCGUCGCGAACUGGGUUUCUUGAGUUGGUACGACGUCAGCGGAAUUCGUGGUGUAGCGGUGAAAUGCUUAGAUAUCACGAAGAACCCCGAUUGCGAAGGCAGCUGACGAGUCCCUUACUGACGCUAAAGCUCGAAGGUGCGGGUAUCGAACA